UCCCUGGUGGACUAGUGGCUAGCAUGUGGCGCCUUCACCGCCAUAGCCCAGGUUCAAUUCCCAGUCCGGGAA